rnacentral:rRNA from 1 species
AGCAGCCGCGGUAAUUCCAGCUCCAAUAGCGUAUAUUAAAGUUGUUGCAGUUAAAAAGCUCGUAGUUGAAUUUCGGGAUCGAAUUGUUGGUCGUGCUUCGGUACGCACUGGCAUUAUCGGUUUCUACCUUCUGAAGAACCGCGAUGUCAUUAAUUUGGUGUCGUGGGGAAUCAGGACUGUUACUUUGAAAAAAUUAGAGUGUUUAAAGCAGGCGUACGCUUGAAUACAUUAGCAUGGAAUAAUGAAAUAGGACGUUUGAUUCUAUUUUGUUGGUUUCUAGGAUCGACGUAAUGAUUAAUAGGGAUAGUUGGGGGCAUUAGUAUUCAAUUGUCAGAGGUGAAAUUCUUGGAUUUAUUGAAGACUAACUACUGCGAAAGCAUUUGCCAAGGAUGUUUUCAUUAAUCAAGAACGAAAGUUAGGGGAUCGAAGACGAUCAGAUACCGUCGUAGUCUUAACCAUAAACUAUGCCGACUAGGGAUCGGAUGAUGUUAAUUUUUUAAUGACUC